UACGAAGGGGGCUAGCGUUGCUCGGAAUCACUGGGCGUAAAGGGUGCGUAGGCGGGUCUUUAAGUCAGGGGUGAAAUCCUGGAGCUCAAUUCCAGAACUGCCUUUGAUACUGAAGAUCUUGAGUUCGGGAGAGGUGAGUGGAACUGCGAGUGUAGAGGUGAAAUUCGUAGAUAUUCGCAAGAACACCAGUGGCGAAGGCGGCUCACUGGCCCGAUACUGACGCUGAGGCACGAAAGCGUGGGGAGCAAACAGGG
rnacentral:rRNA from 1 species